rnacentral:lncRNA from 1 species
AGUUUUAAGACUGGAAGAUCCUGAGGAAAGUCACUGCUCCCUGCCCUGGGUUCCCAUCCAGGCCACUUUAGAGGCAAGGCUGUACUGCUGAGAAGAGAUUCUAAAUCCAGCUGGAAAAUGUCCCUCAGCAGGACCCACAGAGGAUAACAUUGAAAAAGGCAGUUUGACCUCCAGGUGGAGAGGGACAAGGCCUACUGUGUGAAGAAGAUGGUGGCCUCAUUCCCCUGCAGCUACCAGCUCCACAAGACAGGUGGCCGUCGCAGGCCUCUACCCCAACCUGGCCCAUCGGAGAUCCUGGCUCUGUAGGCAGAGCAGAGGACCAAGCCUUGCUCUCUGGCCACUCCAGCUCCUUAGGGGAAGUAGGUGUGUGUCUCCUCGAGAGGGUCUAAGCCAUAUCUCACUUCUCCACUGUCUUUCUCCAGGACAGUGUCCCCAAGAUGUACGUCUCAGCCAGGACCCCCAGAGCAGCCAGAAAAAGAGAUUGAGAGAAGCACACAGCCCCUCCCCAAGAUCCAGGAUCCUGAGAGCUUCAACAGCCAGCUGGGCUCCCUCAUCCGGUGCCAUUCUGGUCAGCAUUGCCUUGUUGCCAAAUACACCUCAGGCACCAUGGAGGUGUCAGGACCGAGAGGGGCGGCGUGAUCCAGGGUGGGGCCACUGCGGGGCAGGUGUCAAUGGGGCUGCUAGUUUAGAGCACCCCCAUAUCACAGAAGGCUGCAGCUGUGGUUCUGUGGAGGAAAAGCAGGGCCCGAGAGUCCAGUCUCUCCUGGCAGUCAGUGCCCUUCCUGGGAUUCAAGAGAGAAACUUCCUUUUCCACAGUCUAAUGUGUAAGAUGUCAGCCACCACACCUGGCCUGCCACACUUCCUUGAUGCUAUUGACAUUUAUAAUAGCAAGCAGGUUUUCUCCCUUUGGGUCCGGAGAUCAGAGUUCUUUGUUGGGAUUGAAAGCAUGAACGUGUCAUUUGAUGGGGCUUUGGACAGUGGUCAUGACGUGAAGAAUUAGGAAGCCAUAGGCUGGGAGGCAAGCCCAGGGACAUGACCUGCAGAGGAAGGCCCAUGCACCUGCCACCAGGCAUCGAAGACCUCAAGGCCAUUCUCCGGUGAACCCAGGGGUGACAGACUGAACAGUGAAUUGCCAAGACCGAGGGCUGAUCUGCUCUACAGAUGUCUCCUGCAGACUCCAAAGCAUUCUAUAACCUAUUCUAACCACGGCUCUGUGCGGGCUGUGGUGCUUCUGUGCCCUCUGCCCCUGGCACAGCAUGAGGCCGGCAGCUGAUUCAGCGCAUUGUCUGGAGACCCAGCAUGGUGCCAUCUCUGCUGACUUUCAUCUCUAUUGGCUAAGAAUCCUUGCCAACAGGGCCUCUGAAAUGAGGGAGGCACACACGGAUCUGCCCGGGAACGUGUGCUACAAGGUUAAGCGUGUUUGCCCAGGCGAGGUCCGGAGUUCAAAUCCCAGCAACCACAUGGUGGCUCACAACCAUCUGUAAUGAGAUCUGACUCCCUCUUCUGGAGUGUCUGAAGACAGCUACAGUGUUCUUACAUGUAAUAAUAAAUAAAUCUUUAAAAAAAAAAAAAAGAAAAUUACCUUACUGGCAACCCUCGUACUAGCUACCUGACACCCAUAGGCACAAAUGAAUAAAAUAAAAUAUGCUUCAGAUAUAUUGAGUAAAA